UGGGGAAUCUUCCGCAAUGGACGAAAGUCUGACGGAGCAACGCCGCGUGAGUGAAGAAGGUUUUCGGAUCGUAAAACUCUGUCUUUUGGGGCGAACGUGAGUAUGGUGAACAAUCAUAGUCAGUGACGGUACCAAAGGAGGAAGCCACGGCUAACUACGUGCCAGCAGCCGCGGUAAUACGUAGGUGGCAAGCGUUGUCCGGAAUUAUUGGGCGUAAAGAGCGCGUAGGCGGGAUAGUCAGUCUGUUGUAAAGUGCGGGGCUCAACCCCGUGAUCGCAAUGGGAACAGCUAUUCUUGAGUGCAGGAGAGGAAAGGUGGAAUUCCCAGUGUAGCGGUGAAAUGCGUAGAUAUUGGGAGGAACACCAGUGGCGAAGGCGACUUUCUGGACUGUGUCUGACGCUGAGGCGCGAAAGCCAGGGGGAGCGAACGGGAUUAGAUACCCCCGGUAGUCCUGGCCGUAAACGAUGGGGUUACUAGGUGUGGGAGGUAUCGACCCCCUUUCCGUGCCGGAGUUAACGCAAUAAGUACCCCCGCUGGGGAGUACGGUCGCAAGACUGAAACUCAAAUGAAUUGACGGGGGUCAUAGCUGUUUCCUG
rnacentral:rRNA from 1 species